GNCCUACGGGGGAAAAAUUUAUUGCUAUUAGAUGAGCCUAUAUUAGAUUAGUUAGUUGGUGAGGUAAAGGCUUACCAAGACAAUGAUCUAUAGCUGAUCUGAGAGGAUGAUCAGCCACACUGGAACUGAGAUACGGUCCAGACUCCUACGGGAGGCAGCAGUGGGGAAUAUUGGACAAUGGGCGAAAGCCUGAUCCAGCCAUGCCGCAUGAGUGAAGAAGGCCUUCGGGUUGUAAAGCUCUUUUAGUGAGGAAGAUAAUGACGGUACUCACAGAAGAAGUCCUGGCUAACUCCGUGCCAGCAGCCGCGGUAAUACGGAGAGGGCUAGCGUUAUUCGGAAUCAUUGGGCGUAAAGGGCGCGUAGGCGGGUUAGUAAGUUAAAAGUGAAAUCCCAAGGCUCAACCUUGGAACUGCUUUUAUAACUGCUAGUCUAGAGAUUGAAAGAGGAUAGAGGAAUUCCUAGUGUAGAGAUGAAAUUCGUAAAUAUUAGGAGGAACACCAGUGGCGAAGGCGUCUAUCUGGUUCAAAUCUGACGCUGAGGCGCGAAGGCGUGGGGAGCAAACAGGAUUAGAUACCCUGGUAGUCCACGCUGUAAACGAUGAAUGUUAAAUAUGGGAAGUUUACUUUCUGUAUUAUAGCUAACGCGUUAAACAUUCCGCCUGGGGACUACGGUCGCAAGAUUAAAACUCAAAGGAAUUGACGGGG
rnacentral:rRNA from 1 species